rnacentral:lncRNA from 1 species
CAUUUGCGAUGCUCGUAUACUUCCUAUCUUAGCUUGCUACUAUCAUCUGUUUUCUGAAGCAACUUUGAUGUCUACAAAUUAUUUCUUUUCUUGCCUAUAUAAGCUGGGUCAGGGAAGUUGAUAGCAUGCUGAUAAGUAGGCAAUCGAAGAUCCAACGGGAAUUGGGUUUUUUUUCUGGAAAAGAAUUGAUUUGGAUUAGGUAAAGAUCUUGAUCGAGGAUUUUGGAUCAUCAUUUGUGUUGGUCAACGACAUGUGAGUACUGAUACCAAAUCAUCAACUCAGGAAAAUUUUAAGCAAGAAAAGUAUUGCUAUUGAUAUGAUUGCGAUUAUGUGGAUUCGAUGGGACCUAAGUGAAUUCUUUUGGAUUUCCUUUUCAAUCGCUUGUAAGUUUUGUGGAUUCAACCUACUUGGAUAGGAUAGUAGAUUGUUCCUUCAAUAAUUUAGAGGGCUUUUUCCAAUGGAAGGAUGCUUAAUGGAUCAUUCUCUUUAGGGAAUGAUCAACGCAUUUGUGAAUGCACACAGAAGGAAAGAACAAGAAGCAAUAACAGAGGGAGAAGAAUGGAAAUAUAAACUGUACUUUGGCACUCCUCUCCCCUUAAUCAUUGACAUGGGUUAAAUUAGUCCUAUUUCGGAUUCUCUUUGAUCUCGCU